CCUACGGGAGGCAGCAGUGGGGAAUUUUGCGCAAUGCUCGUAAGAGUGACGCAGCGACGCCGCGUGAAUGACGAAGGCCUUCGGGUCGUAAAGUUCUUUCGACAGGGAAGAAAAUGCCGAUAAGUAACUGGGGAUGUAUUGACGGUACCUGUAUAAGCAGACCCGGCUAACUCCGUGACAGGAGGCGCGGUAAUACGGAGGGGGCGAGCGUUGUUCGGAGUGACUGGGCGUAAAGAGCACGUAGGCGGUGGUGUAAGUCAUUAGUCAAAGACUCGAGCUCAACUUUAGUACGGCUAGUGAUACUAUAAUACUAGAGUAUCAGAGAGGAUUGCAGAAUUCCUGGUGUAGCGGUGAAAUGCGUAGAUAUCAGGAGGAAUACCGUUAGCGAAGGCGGCAAUCUAACUGGAAACUGACGCUGAGGUGCGAAAGCGUGGGUAGCAAACAGGAUUAGAUACCCGUGUAGUC
rnacentral:rRNA from 1 species